GCAGUGAGGUAUGGCGUGUCCUCUCCAUGACAAUGUGAGGGAAAGUGAUGUAUGCCACUUCCAGUAAGGUUCUAUGGAACCCUGGAAUGAAGAGGAUGCCAACCUUGAAAAGCUAUUCUAGUUCUUUCAAUGUGCCAUAAUGGUAUAGGAGCAAAUGUUUCUGCUGAGGUAAAUCUUUUUUUCUUUUUUUUGGGAGGGGGUGGUGGGGCAGGGUGGAGGUAGGAGGGUGCCAUGGUCUGAAUGUUGGUGUCCUUCCAAAAUUCACGUUUUGGAACCUAAUACCCAAUGUGAUAGAAUUAAGAGGUGGGGCCUUUUGGGAAGUGAUUAUGUCAUGAGGGUUCUGUUCUCAUAAGUGGGAUUAGUGCCCUUAUAAAGAUGUUGAAGGGAGCUGUCUUCCCCCUUCUGCCACACAAGGACACAGCAACGAAGCACCAAUUUUCACUGAGGUUCCUCACCAAACACUGAAUCCGCAAGUGCCUUGAUAUUGAACUUUCCAGCCUCCAGAACUAUAAGAAAUAAAUUUCUG
rnacentral:lncRNA from 10 species